GACGAAGGGGGCUAGCGUUGUUCGGAAUUACUGGGCGUAAAGCGUGUGUAGGUGGUUGUCAUAGUCAGGUGUGAAAGCCUUGAGCUCAACUCAAGAAAUGCACUUGAUACUGGGCAGCUAGAGGACCGGAGAGGAUAGUGGAAUUCCCAGUGUAGUGGUGAAAUACGUAGAGAUUGGGAAGAACACCAGUGGCGAAGGCGGCUAUCUGGACGGUUUCUGACACUAAGACACGAGAGCGUGGGGAGCAAACAGG
rnacentral:rRNA from 1 species